rnacentral:lncRNA from 1 species
CAGCUGUCUGGUAUUUUCAGAAAAAGAAGUCUACUUACUCUCUUUCUGUAUAGAAACUUUUUCCUGUCACUGUAUACGCCUCAUUUAGAAUUCUUAAUUUGGAAAUUGAGUGUCCAUGAUGCAAAAGUACCAAGUCCUACUAGAAAAUAGUUUUGGGUUGCUUCUUUGAUCCAGAGGUUCCAAGAAAACAAAUAAGUCACAGCUUCUUCUUUGGGAGCUAAAGAGCACUGGAAAAGUUUGAUUACAUCCAGGGAAAAAUGAAGCGGGAAAUAAUGCAAUUUCUAUCAAUAAUGUUAAUAUCUCCAGAGUCUAGAAAUUUUUUUAAUGAAAAUCAUCAACAAAUAUUGUCAAGUUUAAAUUGCUCUAUUGUUUUCUUGAUUUAGGUAUGCUAUUUGGUAAGAGACUCGGGAUACUUAAACAUGGAAGACAAUUUGUGCAAAGUUGGAGGAAAUACUAGAAAUACUAGUGCAAUGGGAGAAAAUGUUGAUAAGAUUUUUAAUGUGAGAACAAGUCUCCUUACUCCAAGGUGGAGAUUUAAUGUAGUUUUAGCCACUGAUCGUCAGUACUUUACCUGUUAUCAGGUGAGAAAGUGCAGGAGUGAAUCUUCCCUUAGUGAGGUGUUGGAACAGGCUGCCCUGGGAGUUGGUGGAGUUGCCAUCCCUGGAGGUUUUCAAGCAAAGGGUAGAUGUCGCACUGAACGACAUGGUCUACAGUGGUCACAGGUAUGGAUUGAUGGUUGGACUGGAUGAUCUUGUUGUUCUUUCCAAUCUUAACAAUUCUAUGAUUCUGCAACUUCCCCCUGCUGUUGCCAGAAGCUAAUUCUGCAGAAUCUGAACCAAAACAAUAAGUACUGCAGAAAGAAUAUCUGGAAAUACAUUUAUCUGUUUGUAGAAUGCUGCUGUGAAAACCUGCCUGAAAGGCUGGAAGCAAAGAUGAACAAGAAAGACCUUCCUAGGACUAACAAACUAAGGAAUGAAGCAUCUGCCCCAGUUGCUGAGAAAAGAGUGGGAAUGGAUUUGAAAGACGACUGGCCUCGUGCGCAGCUCUUUGUGGCUCAGGAGCAAGAUACUUCUUGGAUGACUGUGCUGAUUCUUCCAGAUGUAGAGGUGUUUUCAGGGAAAUGCCUGCAGAUUUUGUCCUACAGAAAGAAGUCCUACAAGAUGCUGGGUUUUGGCCCCUUCCUCUUAUGCAGGAAGGUGAUAGUGAGCACAACCAAGAAUGCCAUGUGUCCCUGGGUGGCACAAAGGAGCAUUGUUUCACAUAAGACAAUCAGACCUUUCCAUGUUUUACAGAAAUAGACUUUUACCUCCCUUUUUAAACAGAGUCAGAACAGGUUUUUACAGUGGCAGAGUACUGGGACCCUUUGGAAAAAGCUCUUCCAUGAGAAGGAGGCUUCUGGAGACCUGCUGGGGAAAUGCUGUGGUGCAGGGGACCACGCUGUGACAAGAGGUUGCAGCCUGUACCCCUGUGGUUAUAUGUGCCUGCUGAGGCCUGUCUUUUUCUCUGUCCCUCUCUGAGCACACACCUGUAUAGGCUGUGAUAUGGUCCUGGGCACGCAGACUUCUAGUCAUAUUUGUGGACUUCACCUGUGAAGGGGAUUUUCAGUUCAAUGAGUAUCCCAGAAAAUGCCUCAUGUCAAAUGCAUCUUUCUGCCUGUAGGAGUGGGUGUCUCUGCUUCCUGCCCAGACUGCAAAACACUCCACCAAUGAUGGGAUAAAGAUUAACUAAAAUUGAAAAUAAGUGAAUUUUCUCUAACUCUGUUUUUUCUUUCACUAACUGCUGUUAAGAUGGAAAUUUACUGCGUUACUCUUGGCAGUUUUGCCUAUUUGGUAACUGGAGUCUCCUCAUCUGGUGGGCCAUUCCCAUAGUUCCCACGUUGUACUCGUUCUUCCUAUCGUAUUUUCCAUUCACGUAUUACUUUCCUAAUAACCACUUCUCAGGCUUCUCUCUUCAUUUAAUAUUUCCUUGUGUGUUUGGCUAGGUUUCUCUGCACUCUUGGUGUGGUGUAUGCCAUGCCAUCAAUGGAACAAGGCAGCACAGCUUUACAUGCUGGGUGUGGGGUUGCUCCUUUGGAGCAGUUCGCUUCAGUUGUGCAUUUCAGUUUUCUCCAGUUCUGUUUUGUGGUAGAUGUCUUCUAUAGCUGUGACUUAUUAAAAUGGAUGCUAUCAGGUCUCGUAAGCAGUUGCAAGCAUCUUGGCUUUGGUGAGGCUGCUUUCUCAGCCAGAGUUGCUGGAGCCCUGUGGUCUGGAGCCUUUACUCUGUCUUGUGGUUCACUGAGGCUCUCUUCUGUUCCUCGCUCCUGGCUGGACAUGUUCCCUUGUUUGCUUUAACUAAGUAUCUUAAGGAAUCUUACUGGUCUAUCUGGUCAUUUGUGGCUUGGCAGUUUUGUCACUCUGACUAUUGCGUGCUUUUUUCCUUUUUUACUUUUCCCUCUGUAUGCCAGGAUGUCUGAAGUACGGUCCUCUCAACUCAGAGCAUCUCUUCAGCUCUCUCAGCCCCUUCCGCUCACAGGCUUUUGUGUGUUGGUCUUGUAAGGUAGAAAAACUCUUUCCAUUAUGACUUCCUUAAAGCGUACAUUUAUAUUAUUUCUCUAGCUUGCUAGUAAAAAACUAAAAGGGACAGAACUCAUCUAAAAAAUCAUCAAGAGUCAUACUUCAGUCACUUUCAGAUUUUUGGCAUACUCAAAACUGGAAAACGUUACUUCUCCCUAACUCUUUCUAUGAGGAAAUGAUGGGCCUAUCUAGAGUCUGAAGGCAGACACUGGCCAUUACAAUUUCUUUCACAUCCUGCAAAAACUGAUGGUUUCAGAGUUGGAGACCCUCUGAUUGUAGCCAGUUGUUCUCAAAGACGUGCUGUAAUCCUUUCCAUUUCUUGUAUUUCUUAAUCACAUUUGAUAGCUUGGUAACUUUCUUUAACCAGAGUAAUGUGUUAAACAUUUUUUUGGCUGCCACAGAGAGAAAUCUAAAUAAAUAUUUUGCUGAACUAGGUUCCA